rnacentral:misc_RNA from 1 species
AUUUAAAUCCCAGCUCUGAGUGUUCAUUUUGCGAGGACGUUCAACAAUUCAAUGAUUCGAAUAAAAUAUUGUUGAUCUAUUAAUAUUCGAUUAAUAAUAUCCAUUUAUAUCAGACCUUGGGGAUGGAUCAGAGUGACAAAUUGUUUUAAAAAUUCCCCGCCGUCUCAUGCGAUCCAAUGCCGCCAAAACAGUCGAAUGCUAAUAUUUCCAAAAACACGCCCGUCGAACCACUACUUUUUUCGUUCAUUUCCCUUGAAUAUGAGUCAUACACAUAAAAAGAUUAUCAUCCAGUCGCUUGAGACAUCGGGACUAGUCACCAGUAAAGGAGGAUGGGUCCGCAUUUUAAUCGGAGAUAUGUGUACUACCUUAAAUCCAUUGGUACCUGUACUGUCAUAGUCGGGGGAUGCUGGUUUUUCUAUCAAGUGGGACGAACAACGCAGAUACUUGGCUCCUCAGUUGCUACCAAUGUUCUCAAUUUGGAAAAGCCCCAGGCUCAAUACAUCUACAUCGAUCACCCUCGUUACAAAGAUAUUUUCAUGUUUCGUGAAGAAAGCAAAGAUCCGUCUACAUCCACAAUGGAGAAAAUCAAUGGUCAUAGAUACAAAAUUACCAAAUGGUGGAAAUCACUCAAUCGCAAUAUAGCUUACAAACUUUUGAGUAUGGCAAAAAAUGGUGACUGGGAUACAAGAACCAAAGCAGUUCGUACUCUGUGUUCUAUGAAACAUUUGAAAGAUUGGGACUAUCGUCAAAUGGCUCAAAUGCUUGAUGCUAAAACCGCGGUGGCACUUGCGAGGGUUCCAGAGACAGAUCUCAGAUUUUUUUUGAAGCCGCCUUAUUAUCACACGAAGCACAAACUCUACGAUCUCAUCGAGUAUCUUCAUUUACUGAUGAAUAAAAUGGAUGCGAUGUGCGAGAGUACUCAUCCUUGUCUCGUACAGUUCUUGAACAAAAAAUUUCGUGAUACUUAUCGCGAAGGAUUGGGUUUUGAUCACGAUCUGUCCAGUGUCGGCCUUGCAGUCACACCGGCGAUAAUUUGGAAUCACGAGUUGCUUAAAAACUGUAUUGCAACGAUUCAUCAUCACUCUUCGCUCGAGCAAUGUGGAAAAGAUAUUGCAGAUGUGGGAGGACUGCCAAUUCUCAUUGACGUUCAAAAAAUCUUUGCCAACAACAUGGAAAUUUGUAUUCUACUUGCUAAAAUAAUCUCAAACUUGUCACUCCACUGUGAAUAUCUCGAGGAUAUAUUCAGAUCCGGGUGGAUCGGUAUAUUGGCUGCUUGGUCUCGUCAUCCUGAUGUCCGGCUUUCCGCUCCUGCUUCGCGUGCUCUCGCUAACCUCGAUACUGACGAAAAUCCCAAUGAGAAAUAUCCACGAAGGGUUUAUCUGCUCCAUCCGCAGCACAGAGUCACCAACAGCCCUAAGCUCGAUGUUAUUUUUAUUCAUGGUCUUCUUGGGGGCGUUUUUGUUACCUGGAGGCAAAGAGAUCUAGAAGCAUCGUCAUCCAGAUUCGUAGAAACGCCAACAGCUUAUUUCACCUCGGACACGUUACACGCUGUAAUCGGUGAUCAUCCUCAAGAAUUUCUGAAAGAUUUGGCACGGGACUUGAAGCAGAGAGAAUGGAAACGCAUUGGUCACGAUUAUGAGGUCGUGCUUGAUGACUGUCCGGAAAACAUGAAUGCUCGAGCCACCGGACCUUUUACUUGUAGAGGAGAUGCAGAAUGCAUGGAACAAGCUGAAUACGAUAAUACUCACAGAACACAGUGCUGGCCUCGUGACUGGUUACCAAAAGACGUGUCGUCCCUUCGAGUUCUUGGAAUCAAUUAUGACACUAAUUUGUCCAUGUGGAAUCCGGCAUGCCCUUUCGAAACCAUGAGAGCAACUCUGGACGAAAGAAGCGAUGAAUUUGCGAAGAAACUUCCACUUUCGGGGGUUGGAAAACGCCCAGUUGUCUGGGUUUGUCAUUCCAUGGGGGGUCUUCUGGUUAAAAAAAUGUUGGUCAAAGAAUGGAAAAAUGGAGAUAAAAACGGUCUGUGUAAGAACACAAAAGCCAUCAUUUUUUACAGCACUCCACAUAGAGGCUCGCAUGUUGCCGCUUUAAAACAUACAACUCAGAUGGUCGUUUGGCCUUCUGUCGAAGUCCAGGAGCUUCGGCAAGGUGAAAAAAGGACUUUAAGUGGCAAAGAUUCUCUAGGAAAACAAAUCCCCUGCUCUUAUGGAACUUCACGAAGAUUUCCUCAAUAUGUUGAAAAGUUACGCGAUUGAUAUCGUGAGUUUCAGCGAAACAAAAUCGACACUCGUUACUGCAUUGAAGUUUCCUUUUCAGUUUGUUACUCCAUAUUCCGCUGAUCCUGGAGUUGGCGAAUUUUUUGAAAUUCCUCAGAAUCAUUUGACGAUCUGCAAACCGGCAAACAG